ensembl:lncRNA
GUAAAGAAUUUCCGAAGUAUAAAAUGUCAUAUUUUAGAAGGGCAGAGGUACAUGCUACAGCCUGCUUGGAGAGAAAUGAGCAAGGUGGCAGAGGACAAACCUACCACUUGGGAGAUAAAAAUAGACCAAAAGGAGAAGGGGAAAAAUCAGUAUUGCCAAAAGUCGCUUCAGAAAAUGUUUGGCAUUCAUCCUCUCAUUCAUUCAAGAACCAGUUAAUGAAGAUAAAAUAUAUAACAGGCCCUGAGCUGGAUGCAAGCAGAAAGUGAGAAGAGCAGUCAUCAGUCCUCUCUCAGGGAGCCUGCAGCCUAGUGCAGACUGAUAUAAGGAAAGGUUGGGCUAUUUUACUCAAAGACCCCAUACCGAUGUGGUUUAAUCAUUAUUAUUCUCUAGUGAAAUUGUUGAUGUGCAUAGGAUCUGAGGUUUGCUAUAGUUUGAGCCCUACAAUUCAGGUAUUGGAAACUUAAUCUCCAACACAUUGCAGGAGUUGGAGCAUUGCAGGAACUGUUUAGGAUUCAGUGGUGACAAAUUUUAUGUCUCAGGGUGGUGAACUUUUUCUUUGAAUUCCUAACCUGUGAUUUUACGGUCAUCUAUCUUUAGGUAACGUAGUGACUUCUACUUGUUCUGUCAUAGCUGUCUCGAUGUCAUGAAGAUUCAAAAUGCUUACCUUUAAUGGUCAUUUUGAGUUUGGGGAAGAAGCAGAAGUCACAGGGUGUCAGAGCCUGUAAAUAAGGCUUAUAAUGUUUUAAUGAGCCUGCCUUUCCUUUGACUGGCACUUGGCAGAAGCAUUUACCAUGUUGCUGACUGAACCUUAUAAAGACAUUCAGGAAAGAGAACUCCCAGAACUGCUUCAGAAAGUGACAAGAACUAUGGGAUAAGGAUAAGGAAAUUGGAAAUAAUGAUAACAUAUACAACUUCUACUUAUAUAUUCACUUUUUUCCUUCAUCUCAUUAUUGAAGAUUCUUAAAAUAAUUUGUAAAUAUUAAAUUUGUUUCUGAAUUUUCAUAGUUCCUUUGAAGUACCAUUAACUGAAGAAGUCAAACGUUUCUCUAAUAGAGAAUUCAAGAAUGACAAGGAUUAUGUUACAUAAAAGGCUUGCCACACAAAAUUAUUUUGAAUACAAUUGCUAGAGUAUUUGCCCACACAUGAAAUAAAGAUAUAACUACAAGAGUUUCAAGCCAAACCAUCACAUCAGAAAAUGGAGAAUAUAAAUUAAGGAUUAACUGUCAUAUAUUUGGGAGAUAUUUUGUUUUCUUCUUGAGAGAUAAAAGAAAGAUGUAUUUCUAAAAGAGUAAAUUCCAUUUGGUAAAGAAACAGAACCAAAGCUCUGGCUUAUUUAGUAUUUUAUUUUAAACUCUUGGAAAUAAUUUUGGUUAAGACUAUAUACCUAAGUAAUGAAAAGAUACUGUACUUAUUCUGAGGGACAUAUGGAGACCGGAUUUUUACCGAGGACAACUCCUGUGUAAAUAUGCAUUUCCUCUGAUUUUCAUUCAACCGAACUAACUGAAAGUAAACUUUGCACAUGACAUAUUUUCUGAGCUACAGAAUGAGUAACAUCAAGAAUGAGAAAAGUAAGGGAGAUGGGGAGGGAUAUGAAUCCCAGGAGAACCAAAACUUACUCAAGUCGUAUAACAAUGAUAAAGUAUAUGGGACAUAACAGAUGCCAUGUGAAAAGAAUACAGUAAGUUCUGUGGGAGAAGCUAUUAAUAAAUGUCUUUUGGGUCUGUAAAGGCAAGGGUGUUAAACUUAAACUAGUUCUUGCAGAAAAAAUUAUGAGGGUUUCCAGGUAGUGAAUGCAGGUAAAUGAAUAAGAUUAUCUGAGAUAAAACCUUUCUGGCCUUCAGUUUAGCCUUGUAUAGGCUGUAGGAGUAGGGUGUGGUUUCCAUAUGAUUAGCUUUGGGGUCUGUCUAGAAAAUGAUGGUGCACACUUGUAGGUAUGUGCAGGUGGCUCAUUGAGGUAUGGUAGAGGAGUCUAUGCCUGGCUCCUCACCCCUUAUGCUCUGACACUCUUCUGCUCUGCUCCCUGACUAGCAUAAUUUGCUCUACCACACCCUUCUGCCAUGAUGUUUGUGCCUUGGAGCCAGUAAACCAUAGACUGAAACUAUGAGCCAAAUUAAUCCCUUCCUCCUUUAAAUUAUAGGUGUUAGGUAAUGUGUCCAGUGAUAGGAAAGACAACUGUUACAGAACAAUUGUUUCUGAGAGUAGGUAGGGUCAUUGCUGUAACUAUCCCUGAUAAUGUGGCUUAGAAGAUUUUGAAACUAGUCUGUCAGAGGAGUUUAGCAAAGUUUGGAGAGACAGUCCAGUGGAGACCUAGGAUGCUGUGGGCAGUGAUUGACGGACAAUAUUGUUUGGAGCUCAGAAGAUAAGAAAGCUGAUAAAAAUGCAGUUUGUAGAAGCCAGUCUCAGAAAGGUUAAAUUGGACACAAAAAUGUCACUGACAGUUGUACUUCAGGCCAUAUAUAUUAGACUUUGGUAUAAAAUUUGUCUACAUUUUGAGUAUGUCCUAAGAUUUUGCAGAAGACUGAGGCUAACAAUGGUGGACUAAUUAUUCUGGAAGAUGAAAUUUCAAAACAGCCUAACAUUUAGGCUGUGGGAUGUAUACUGCUAGCUGUUUUUACCCAAAUUUAUAGUGAAAAUUAGGGGUGAAAAGCGGAGCAUAAAAAUUAGAAAAACUGUAGUGUUGGCCCAGAAAGAAGCAUCUAUAAAGUUGGGGCCUAUCUCUAAAGAGAAUAGGACUAUCAGAAAGAAACCAAGUACUUUCUAUAGGGACAAGAAGAAGAUGUAUUGAGAGCAUCUCAGGAAUCAGCAAGACCCCAGCCAUUGAAAGAUCAAGGGUGCAAAAGUGUGACCCUUUCAUUUGAGAAGAUAGUCCCUAAGACUCCUGCUAAAGAAGGAGCACCUAAGGAUUUGGUUUCCUGGAAUUCAUUUCACCAUGUUCAGUGAUUCAUGUUCUCAGAGUACACUGCAGCCAUGGUCCAUGUGGCCCCAACUAAUGCUUCUGCUGACAGCAGACUUUGGUGUCCUCCAUGUAAUGCUCAGUUUACUGUCAUAGAGAAUGCAAGAAUCAUGGAGUCAUGGAGUGUGUUAGUUAUUUUUCUCUUGUUGCUAAGACAAAAUACCUGACACCCAAAGUUGGAGGGGAAAGAGUUUAUUUGCCUUACAUUUUCUAAAGGUUUCAGUCUAUAAUUGGCUGGCUCAGAGGCAGGGAUGACAAACAGGCCUUGCAGAGGAGAAACAACAUGGCACACUCAAGGUAGCAAAGGCAAUAACAGAGCCCUUCAACACAUCUUUCUGCCUCUUUUAUCCCAUUCAGACUACUGGAAUUAGGGUGGUCCCAAACCCAUCAUUCAGGUGUAGUAGUUUAGUAAUCACACACCCUUGAUCUCAGCAUCACACAUUGCAGAUUCAACUACCUCUGAAAAAGAAAGUCCAACCUCAUCUGCAUGAGGCUUUGAGGGAACUUCUAAACACAAACCAUACCAUGGAGAGUUCCACUCAGAUUUCAAAGGAAGGGUUGAAAGCCCAAGCAAGAACCCCUAAUGGGGCUCACAAAACUGUGGGAAUGAAGCCAAAGGUGCAGUGCAACCCUAGGAAGUUGGAGUUGACAGAAACAUAGAAUGUCUACUAGGCAAUGCCAAAGGCUAUGAAUGGGGCUAGACUGAGAGAGUGGUUAUAUGGGCUGCAACAAGAAUGUCCACAGGCACGGGGCUACCCAAGCACUUUGUAACUUGCAUUUUACCCCUGUGUGCCCUACAUACACUUAUGAAGUUACAGGAUUUAAUGUUUGUCCUGCCAGGUUUUGGUCAUGGUUUGGUCCAAUUCUUUUGCAUUUCCACUGCCUUUUUGGGAUGGCAACUUUAGGGAUGGCAACUUUAAUAUGCACCAUUGUACCUUGGGAUUAUGUAACUUGUUUUUUAUUUUUACUGAGUUUCACACUUAAGUAUUUCUUUGGAGUCUCAGAAGAAACUUGGACUUGGACUUUUAAAAAAUGGUACAAAAGCUGAAGCUUUGGGGAACAGAAUAUUGCAUUUGGGUUGUAUAUUAUAUAGUUGUAUUCUGUUAGGUAGAAUUAUGAACUUGUUGUUUUACUUGGCAGUUAAGUAUGGCUUAAUGAAAUGUAUUUGGGUAGUAAGUUUAAAAGGGGUCGGAUGAAAUGGUUAGAGUGGAGUUUGAACUUGAUUUGCCUUUCUGAUCUAGCCCAGGGAUUUGUAUAGCAGACGGUUAGGUGUGUCUGGUUAAGCAAUUGUGGUAAUGAAUUGUAAUAGGCCAACUUGAAUGGAUUAAAAAAUCACCUAGUGGAUUAGUAGAGCACAGCUCUGGGUGUAUCUGUGGAUGACUGACAUGUAAGUCACAAAUUGAAGACUGAGAACCUACUUUGGAUGUGAGUGGCACCAACCAAUAGGCUUGAAGCUGGAUGGGAUGAAAAGGGAAUGUCAAAGGAAUUCUUCCCUUUUGCUUCUUCAGAGGAGCUAUGGGCUUUGCCAUUGCCUUUGGAUCUGUCUUUAGUUGCUUCAGUUUUUCAAAGCAGGUUCUUCAGCCUUCCACUGCAGACAAUUUAGCUUCUAGGCCUUCAACCUUCAACUGGAUCCUCCAGUUCUCCAGCAUAGAGAUGGCCAUUUUGCAUUCUUCUUCCCCUAUUUCUUCAGGCAGUCACUGCAAGCCUACUUAGUAAAUCCUUUACAUAUCUCCUUCAUUCAUAUAUACAUAUGUAGUUUUUGUCUCUUUUUCUAAUGAAACCUUAUACCUGUCUGAUUGUCUUGGUCACUUUCUCAUUGCUGAGACAAAACACCUGACACCCACAACUUAAGGAAGGAGAAAUUUAUUCAAUGAAUUUUAGUCCAUAGUUGAUUUUGUCUUGGAGUCCACGUCUUGUCCCUUGCCCAGGUGCUUUUCUCCUCCUUUGCUUUCUGACCACCACACUCAAGUAUCUUUGCGCCUCCACUUCCUCCUGCCUUUGUUUCUUCCUUGGGUCCAGCCAACUAUGGACAGAAACCAUAAGCCAAAUGAAACCUCCCCUUGUAUAAAGUAUAUUUUUCAGCUAUUGUAUUGAACAAUAGGAAAGCUGAACAAUUUAUGUAUGAUAGUGAGAAAAAUAUAUAUAUAUAUAUAUAUUUUCUUUUUCUGGUACUGGGGAUCAAACUCAGGACUUUGCACUUGCCAGGCAGGUGUGAUGGAAAAAAUAAUUUCUAAGAUUUUUUCUUUUAGUCAUAAAAUUUUAUGAUCCUUUGACUGGAUACUGAAGCAUUGGAAACUUUUGACACUGUACCACUGAUAUGACAGAGGAAAAGUGUUUUAUCCUAUACAUGGACAAACAAAAGUAUUAUCUUAUGCAUGGGCAAAAUAACAUCUGUUUUUCCAGCAAAGAGAGUUAGGCAUAAGUACAAUGUAUCCUUUAAAAGCUAGUGGGACAAAACUUUGAUGGCGACAUAUGUGGGCUGCUAAAAGAGGAUUGAAAGAUGAAAUUGGCUAAAAAUAUAUGUUUGAUAAACUGGGACAGCCUGGUCCAAUCUGUGCUGGAGAUAGCUCUGGGUCCUUUAAAACCCAUUACUUUCUACAUUUGGGUCUCUAGUUGCUUAUUUUUCUCAAAUGUUUUCUAGUUACUUGGGAAAUUUUUAACUUUUAGAGUUAAAGGGAUUUCUACAGUCAAGAAAAGCCAGGAGAUUUAUAGUCCCUGAGAGGUGUUGUGUGGUAUUUGUGGUGAUCACUGCUGGGAAUCCCCCAAAAAACCAGUGGAAUUGAGAGUGUGCCCAGAAUUGUGUAUUUCCUUGACUUGGGAAUUUUCCUUAUGUGACAUUGAUAAGAGUCCAAAUGAAUUUGUUAGAAAGCUUUCCUAAAAGUUAUAUUACAUAACCCAUGUUUAUAUGAGAUUAGCCAAAUUUAUUAGCCAAGAGAUAAAAGGAUAACUUAUGUUUUCAUCUUAAUGAGUGUUUUUAAAAAAAUGAAACAAACAAAAAAGUUACAGUUGAUCUUAGCCAAAAGGCCAAGAAGCAAUAAUAAACAAAAGAUGAGCAUGGUGAGUUAUAGCUUUCAGGACCUAGGUAAUAGGAAAGAGUAAUACAUGCAGGAUGAUUUAAUUUAUUUAAACAUGCAUUUUGAUACGUAUAUUUAAAAUGUGAAGAUAAUUAAAAUCAUAUACAUCAAGGCAAUUCAAAAUAAAACAUGAAUGAGAUUGUUUCUAUAUUGAGGCUUUUUGCUGGUGUCAAAGAGACAUUGUUGACCUGUGAAAAGGACCCCUUUCUAUACAGAACUGAAGCUGUGUUGUUAGAAUUUAUGGCUGGGAUUAAGGCAUUUGAAACCACCCCUGUUAAUAAUUUCCACUGUUGAACAAAGAGUCAAUAAGACUUAAAAGCUGGUGAGAAAGUAGAAGAGCACAAAGUCAGAAAAAUGAAGGGACCA